rnacentral:lncRNA from 1 species
AGUUCUUUUGUAAGAUCCUUAUCUAAGGUUUAUUUAUAUUUUUUAAGUUCUGAAAAUUCCUUAGUUAGUUUUUCAUUAUCUUUAGUUAAGGUGUUAGUCUUUUGAGUUAAAAGUUGGUUGCUUGUUUUAAGUUCUAUAUUUUCUUUGGUGAUUAAAUUCUUAUCCUUAACUAAUUUAUCGUAUUUAUGUAGGUGUGAUUGAUUAGCUAUUUUUAGUUCUUUAUUCUUAAGAUUUAUAGCCUUAUAUUCUACCAUUAAUUCAUUAAAAGCAUCAUAAAGUUCAUCAAAAGAAAAAUCAGGAUGCGUAUCGGAAGUUACCUUGUUUUCGUUGGCCAUGAAGCAGAAAUUGGCCUUCUCUUCUUGUUCAUCAUCUGAUGAGGAGGAUGAUGAGUCGGAGUCGGAUAGUGUAGUGACAAGAGCCUUCUUCUUCUUGUACUUACUCCCCUUCUUCAGUAAGGGGCACUCUGCUCUUAUGUGACCCGGCUUCUUGCACUCGUAACAUCCUAUCCCCUCAUUUUCCCUUUCCUU